rnacentral:rRNA from 1 species
GACGAACCGUGCGAACGUUGUUCGGAAUCACUGGGCUUAAAGGGCGCGUAGGCGGGCUGGCAAGUCAGGGGUGAAAGCCCACGGCUCAACCGUGGAAGUGCCUCUGAUACUGCCGGCCUGGAGGGAGGUAGGGGCGUGCGGAACUUCCGGUGGAGCGGUGAAAUGCGUAGAUAUCUGGAGGAAUACCGGUGGCGAAGGCGGCAUCCUGGACCGACAUUGACGCUGAGGAGCGAAAGCUAGGGGAGCAAACGGG